rnacentral:ncRNA from 2 species
UAAAGAAUAAAACUUUUAUGUUGUUUCACUUGAUGAAAACUAAGAUGGAAUUUGGUGUAAAUCCAAAACGGUCCCGCCGCUGUAAGCCAGGAGUGGGCUAUCGAAACCACUGAUUUUUUCGGGAAGGGGAUAGUCUGUUAGGAUAGGUAAGUCAGAAUACAUGCAUAAAAGAUUGUGUAAGA